GUUGACCUCGGAUCAGGUAGGAAUACCCGCUGAACUUAAGCAUAUCAAUAAGCGGAGGAAAAGAAACCAACAGGGAUUGCCUCAGUAACGGCGAGUGAAGCGGCAACAGCUCAAAUUUGAAAUCUGGCCCCAGGCCCGAGUUGUAAUUUGCAGAGGAUGCUUUUGGUGAGGUGCCUUCCAAGUUCCCUAGAACGGGACGCCAGAGAGGGUGAGAGCCCCGUACAGUUGGACACCGAGCCUUUGUAAAGCUCCUUCGACGAGUCGAGUAGUUUGGGAAUGCUGCUCAAAAUGGGAGGUAUAUUUCUUCUAAAGCUAAAUACCGGCCAGAGACCGAUAGCGCACAAGUAGAGUGAUCGAAAGAUGAAAAGCACUUUGAAAAGAGGGUUAAACAGCACGUGAAAUUGUUAAAAGGGAAGCGCUUGUGACCAGACUUGCGUCCGGUGAAUCACCCAGCUCUCGCGGCUGGGGCACUUCGCCGGCUCAGGCCAGCAUCAGCUCGCUGUCGGGGACAAAAGCUUCAGGAACGUAGCUCUCUUCGGGGAGUGUUAUAGCCUGUUGCAUAAUACCCUUCGGCGGGCUGAGGUACGCGCUCCGCAAGGUGA
rnacentral:rRNA from 1 species